rnacentral:ncRNA from 2 species
GUGCCCGGCCGCGACUGGCGAGGGUGGACGACCACCGGGGAGCGGCCCGAUCCGAUGUGAGCGUCGACCGCCUGGGCGCCUCCG